GAAGAUUUUCUUCCUUAUCUGCCGAUUCUGGGACUAACUCCGAAGUGAGAAUUCUCACUCUCUUAGCAUUCUGUCCACACCAGAGCUUUCUACCUUGUUCAUGUUGUUGCUGAAAGCCCUGUCCCGAUGCCAAUCCAAUAGUGAGGACAUGGUUUUGAGAAAAAGGAAAAGAGGUUUAUUGCUUGGGUAGCAAAGGAGAAACACAGGGAACUCCUGUCCCAAAGGCUAUGAUUCUGCCCAUCAUCAGGAACAGGGGAUUUUAUAGAGGUGAUUCAGAGAAAAGGAGAUCAGGGAAGAGAGAUCAGGGAGGAGAGAUCAGGGAGGAGAGAUCGGGGAGGAGAAGGUCAGGGGAAAGAUCAGAGAAGAGAGGGUCAGGAAAAUGGUUAGGGAAAGAAGAUCAGGGAGGAGAAGGCAGGGAGAAGGUGAUUAGGGCAAAGAGGAUCGGGAAGGAGGCUAGGGAAAAGAUCAUACAGGAGAAGCUCAAAGAAAUUUGGGAAAAAGAAAAAAUAUGUAAGUUUCAAAGCCACAAGGGAUACAGUCAAAGCAUCAAGUGACCCCUGUCACAGUUGGCCACCAUCGACUCGUGUGCCUCAGUGGCUCUCUGCCUCUCACUGGGUUGAGGAACUGGAGAUGCAGAAUUGAAGGAGAAAUGGCCCCUGCCCUUGAGGACUGGAGGGAGAAG
rnacentral:lncRNA from 1 species